rnacentral:tRNA from 1 species
UAUUUUGGCAGAUUAGUGUGAUUGAUUUAGAAUCAAUUUAAGUAAGGUUUUUUACAGGUAAUAU